CUACAUGUAAUUCAAGUUUUUCCAAAUUUGCAAACUUUUCUGAAUUUGCAGCCAGCUUCUUCAUUGUUUCUCCAGCUUCUGCCUAGUCCCAAAGCCAAAGCCACAUACUUUAACCGCCCACAUGUAGCUUCCAAUUUCAUCAUCAGUGUGUCUCACAGCAUAAAAACGACCCCAAAAGUCAGUUGCUUAAAACAAUCACCAUUUAUUUGACUUCUAAUUUUUGUGGAUCAGCAGGUUAGACCGGGAUCAGCCCAGGGAAUUUUUUUUUUUGUGUGUGUGUCUCGGUUGCACUCAAUCCUCGGUCUCAAUGGUAUCCAGCAAGGGAUCUCCCUUACUGGGGUUAAUCCGCUGGGCACGUUCACCGGGGGCGUGACCGGGCCAUGUGGUUGUUUUCAUCAUUCCUCGGGCAAGCUCAAGCUUGUCCACGCAGUGCAGAGAGCUCUCAGGAGCAGUAAUGAGGAAGCUCUAAAACGCAAGCGCUUUUACGCUUCUGUUUAUGUCACUUUUGCUGCUGUUUCAUUGUCCCAAGAAAGUUACAGGCCAGUACGGAUUCAAGAGGAGUGGAGAAAGCGCUUCUUACCAUUUGUCAUCUUCCGUUCCCUGCAACUUGUAUCCUGUGAGUUUAAAGAGGAAUAUGAAGUCUCAACCAAGAUCCUGCAAAAACACAAAGCAGAAAAAGACGUGGCAAAAAAAUUAUUUUUUCAUUUAAAGAGUAUGUUAUUUUAGCCAAUCAUCUCUGUCAUUUGGUACAAACUUCCAGUUAUAAAAUAAAUUGUCAGGGGGAUGCAAUGCA